UCCGCAAGAACCGCCCCCACGCGGACCGGAAGCGGCGGUGCCAAAAGUGACGUCAGUUCCCGCCCGGCGCAAGACGUCACUAUUCUGCGCCGCGCCGGUCGUGCGCCGACGUGCGUCUCCUUCGGACUUUCCAGGAGCAGCCUCGUGCUUUCUUGAAAUCCCUAAUCUCUGCGAAGUCAAACUCUUAGUCCUCAUUUUAUUGCCUUACUUCACACUGAAGUAACCCAAGUUUUAUUUUAAGCCCGUCACAUGUCUCAGUGAAUUCUAAAGCUUUACACAAAGGGUUGGUCCACAGCACUGCAGGAGGUGGGAGACAAAAUUUCUUCUUACAAGAAGACUCCCAAGGUGGGUCAGAGUUGGCCAGACGCACAGAGAAGACUCUAUAGUCAAAUGCCAACUGGGGAAAUGUAGUAGGAUUAGCAGUCUGUUGGUCUCUGCAGUAUCUGUAAUGUCAGAUUAAGGGAACCAUCUGGAGGCUGCCAUUGGCCCCUUCCCUUCCCAGGUAACCAAUCUGGUCCUAAAACACAGGAAUACUUAAAAGGAUAAUCUGGGAUUGGAGCAGUUCUCAUCACAGAAAAUCCUUCUUCCAAGCCUGGGCCUAGUUCUGUAUCAAGGUCAAAGAGCUGGAGAGAAGUCCUUUUCGCUGGAGUUUCAGUUUCAUCUCAUCUUUGCUCUGUAACUCUGUGGGUACCAUCAGCCUUGGCCAGGUAGGAAAUGUCGAUUACUAGUAUUUGCUCUAAAUGUUCUACACAAAGAUGCUCAGUAAGAAGGAAGCCAAGUCCUUGGCAGUUACUCCUGCCUUACACAGGUAAAUGGCUAGUCCAUCUAGUCCCUUAUUGCAUUGUUUGUAUUCCAAGAACUGUGAGCUCAGACUUUCAGAAUCCCUUUAAAAUCAAGACACCAAGUAUCUGAAAUCAUUCCCAGCUCUGAGAAAUUUGCCUUCUGGGAUCUGGAGACAAAGCCAGUACUUGUCACACUAUUGCUGAUCACUUGUGGAACUGCCUUGAGGCUGGUCAUUAGCAAUUUGAAGCCAUAAUUUUCACUGAGGAUCCAAACCUUAGAUCACCUUUUAUUUGCCUGGGACUAUGAAGGGGUCAAGGUGACACCUGGGAUGUAAAAAAGAUGCUGCAAGUGCCUGUAAGCCCAGGCUGUGUGGCAAGCUAGGGCCACCACCAACUCUCCACUAUGACUCUACCACAGGCCUUACUCAAGCACAGGCAAUGGACCCACUGGUAAUCAGAUGUGCACUAUAUACAGACUGCACCUGCUGAUGAAAACCAUGAGGUCGUGGUCCUGCAACACAAACCUGCAUACACCAAAAGCCCCAGGUUGGCAUUUUGGUCCAUGCUGUGGGCAACAGGGCAGGCGGGGCUGACAACACUCAGAUAAGGUGCCCCAGCCCCAGGUCACAGGCCUCAUGCCAUACUCCAAACAUGAUGGCUGGCUUAUCACCUAUCCUACUUGGGAUCUCUCUCUGUCUCUGUGUCUCUCUCUUUUUUUUUUUUAACAUUUAAUUUUUGAGAGAGUGCACGCAGGAGAGGGGCAGAGAGAGACAGAAUCCAAAGCAGGCUCCAGGCUCUGAGCUGUCAGCACAGAGCCUGAUGCGGGGCCCGAACCCAUAAACUGAGAUCAUGACCUGAGCUGAAGUCGGACACUUAACCGACCAAGCCAUCCAGGCACCCCUAUCUGUGUCCCUCUUCAUCUCAAUUCUGUCUGGAGGCUGGUCUUAACACUCCUGGCCAGAGAAUAGGCAGGGGCUGCUGCAAAGAUCUUGAACAAGUGAUUAGCCACAGCGUCUAGAUGGGGAAAAUGCUGGCCAAAAAAAAAAGACAGAAUUUCAAAAGGUAAAUUUCUGUGUAUUCACGCCUAAUCUUCAAGAGUUGUGUAAACAAUUUUUUUCUACCUUCCCCCAUCAUUUGCACAAUUUUUGUCUAGUCCAAACGUAAUUUAAAAUGAGGUAGGUAGUUUCUCUCUCCUCUGCCUCCUCUUCUUUGUGGCGACUGUCGAGGCCUGUGCCGUGAAAGCACCAGUCUCCCGUGCAGGGGGAGCACCAGGGGUGGGCACUGGUGACUGACGGAGCUUCUCAGUUGGCUAUUUUCUCAAUCUCAUCCAAAUCAUCUGUGUCCAAUCUUUCUAUUUUCUUAUCUGGGGAAAAAAAGAGAAUUCACAGAGAUAUCAACACGGGGCUAUCAUGAACACACACACCUAGGGAAGGGACAGCACAGCAGGGAGGGAGGAGGCAGACGGGUUUCUGCCUCCAUGCCAAGCCUCUGGCCACAGCAAACUUUCAUGAAACCCCACGGGCUCCUGGUGCCUGAGCACGGGACAGAGCCCUAGGCCCUUCAAGCCUGGCCAAGGGGGCGCUGUUGUUCGAGUUCCUGACCCGAACUCACCAGGUGUGCUCUUCGAGAACUUCCAUAUUGUAGGAAAGGAGGGGAAUGUGACAAGGACAAAGGCCUCUCGAGGAGGCCCCAGGAGAACCUGCCCCUCUAAGGAAAGGGCCCUGGCAGGGGACACUCCCAGGCACUCACUAAAAUGCUCCUGGAUUCUGUUCAGGAUGUUCAUGCUGUGCUUGCUGUCGACCAUGUUCACUGCCAGGCCCCUCUUGCCAAAGCGGCCCGUGCGCCCGAUCCGGUGCAGGUAGGUCUCGUUGUCCGGGUUCCCAUCCUUGUCCACGGGAAGGUCAAAGUUGAUGACGACAGAUACCUGUUCAACAUCAAUACCUGCACGAAAGAGGGGUGGAGUCAGGACGGGAAACAAAAACCACCACCCACCAGGCGAGGCUGCCACACGCCAGCAUCAGGUGGAGGAAGAGUCUGGGGCAGGCCAGCUCUGGGAUUCGGGGACCGGGGGCACGCAGCAGAAUCCAGAGGGAAAAACAGAACUCUGGCAGGUGCUAACAAAAUUAUGACCUCGCUAGAAGAGCCUCUGCUAGAUACAAGAAUCUGGAGAUGCGGCCGAAACUUCACUAGGGGGCCGCAGGAGAGCAGGCACCAUUCACUCUAAACCAGUCACUGCCUGUUUCCUUCCACCACAUCAGGACUCCUGGCUUCUGUGAAAGUUCUCAUCUGCUGGGGGAAUCCAGCCUCUCCCAGAAAACAAAGUCAGCACCAACCCCAGCUGGACUCCCCCGAACCAUCUGAGCGUCCCGUACGGGAGCCCUGCGCUCGCCAUCCGGAGCCAGGCGAACAGGCACAUUCUCUGCUCACCGCGGGCACACACGUUGGUGGUCACCAGCACCUUCUCUUUGCCCUCUCGGAAGCGCUCGAUCACCGCAGCCCUCUGCUCCACCAUCAUCUCGCCGCUCAGCAGAGCCACCUGGUGGCCUUCUUUGGAGAGCUCUGCUGCCAGCCAACUAGCCGUUUUGCGGGUCUGGAGUGAAAGGAAUGGUUUUAAAUGGAGAUACCUGGAAAAAUAAAAACAAAAACAAACCUGCCAAAAAGUGGCUUGUUUCCAUUAAAAUACGUGAAAGCCUGCUGAGUUCAGCCACCAGGGUAGGCUUACCAAUUUUACAAAGACAAUUUUAGCCAUGUGAAUUUUUUUUGGAUGAAUUACUUAAAUCAUCUUAGUGUUCAGCUAGGAAGAGUGUGGUAGGAGCCAAUAUCUUCAUUCUCAAAUAGUCUAUAUUCUUAAUGUUAUAUAAUCAUUUCAUUGGAUGUUAUCUGGAGUUUUUCCCAAGGUAUGUCUAAGAGGUGGGGCCAAAGAAAAGUUCAAUUCUUCACAGUCUUUCCCUCAUAACUCAUUAUAGUCUGAGGAGAAUAUGCCCUGGGGCAGGUGGAGGUGCUUCAUCAUUUCCUUUCUGGCCACACAGAGGACACCCAGUCCUCCUCAGCACUGAGGUGGAGCUGGCUGAAGGGAGGGCCAGGCACACCCUCCAGUGGAGCUCCUCCCCCGGCAGGCCUGCUGCUGCCACUGCUACUCACGUGGCAGAAGAUCAUGGCCUGAGCAAUGGUGAUGGCCCCGUAGAGGUUACACAAGGCCUGGAACUUCUCAUCUCUGUUAUUGCACAGGACGUAAUACUGCUUGAUGGUGUCCAACGUCUCCUCCUCACGCUUCAGUUUGAUAAUGUUUGGGUCUGGGACCACUUUCUGGGCAAAUUUCCAUACAGAGUCCUCAAAGGUGGCAGAGAAAAGCAGCAUCUGGCAGUUCCUGGGCAGCAUCCUGCAAGGGAAGACCCAGGUAUGUGGCAUGACCCCGAGUCUUUCCCUGGAAGGAACAGAAGACAGCCACCCCAGGCUUGGAUGCUCUACACGCCGGGGAAAGAGGCAAAAGGGGGGAGGAGAACAGCAGGGAGGAGGCAAGAGCAGCCAUGGGGCAGGGAGGGGGCUGGUGUUAGAUUCCCUAAGUUUCCUUCCUCAACCCAUGGUCAGCGCUGAGGAGCAAAUGGCCUAUCAAACAAAUGCUUCUGGAAGCAGUACAGUAAAGAACCUGAUAGGAGCAAGAAGAAGUGUUUGAAGUAAAAGGAGAAGAUGCUGUAGAUCAGGAGGCUGAGACGUUCCUCUUGGCUCAAGAGUUCCUACCUCUGGAUGCGGAUGCUCUGGUCUUGGUGGCCCUGAGUAGCUAUCAUCACGUCAGCCUCAUCCAGAACAAACACCUUGAUCUUCUUAGGGUCAAUGAACUUGAGCUUGGAGCACCAGUCCAGAACAGUCCCAGGGGUGCCAAUGACAAUGUGUUCACUGAUCUUCUGACCUCUUUCCACUGUGGAGACAAGAUGUUUUCCGUGGGUAUUUCCAUGAAAAAGUCUGCUUUCCUCUCUGAGAAAAAUGUAAAGCUAUGAUGUAUUUUAAUGCAACUGUUUUUAUGUUUGCCUUACUGUUUUAAGGAAAGGUUAUGUUAUCACUACAGUAUUUAAUAAUGCUGAACAGAUAAGGUAAGGAUAUACACAGUGAAAAGAUGAAAACCUCUUCAGUAGUGUUCUUUUCCAUUCUCUGUAGUCAUCCAGUUGUCUUUCAAGGAGGCUCUGUCGUUAUCUUUAUUUCUUCUCUGUCAACAUCAUUCCCCCAGCCCAGGAUGGCACUUCUCCCAAGCAGACUUUCACAGCACUCUCUUCAGUGCACUCUGUCCCUCAGCUACCUUAGCAUCUACGUCAAACAAGCCGGUUGCCUCUACGCACUGUCUGUCCGGGUCAGUAAACAGGAUUCAUCAUGAAAGGCUUUGCUUUCCCAAAGAAACACAAAAUGCCUCUAUUAGAUAAAGUGCUUCCCCAGACAAGGCCUGGUGGACCAUAGCAUGUUCUUGACUGUGUGUGCAGUCUGGAACUUAGAAGAUUAGGCUCUUCAUUUUGAAUUAGAUGGCACUUAUAAUUUUUAGCCCUUUGAUUACAGUCUUGACCAGACACAUCAAGCUUCCUCUAAACAGUCAAAAUUUUGCCCUAAUGUGAAUGUUGAGUAAAUUCAAAGCCAACACAUGCCCCUUCUUACUUCUGUUAAACAAACCAAUUAUAGCCCCCCACAAAAGUUAUUCAGACUCCUCUGCCAUUCUAACCCAAAUUGAAAAAUUUUAAAUGUCUUAUCAUCUUUCACUAAAUUUUAUAAUAUUAUUUACUUUUUAGAAACAAUUUUAAGUUGGUAUUAGGACAUUGUACACUGAGUAGAUUUCUGUAGUCACAGUUACAGGUUAGUGGUAAAGAUUCACAGGACUUAGCCAAACUUUCAACAAGACUUUUUUUAAUUACUUAAAUAUUGUUAAUUUGUUGUAUAAUAAAAGUAGGAAACCUGAAUAAGGGGGG